AUGUGAAGGGCUUAGAAAUGUUAUUUGAACUUUUUGUUCUUCAUGAAAAGUAUUUACUUUAUUCAAAAUUGCAUUUUCACUAUUUUUCCUAAUAUUGAAAAUUAAAAAAUUAAUUAAAAGAAAAAUGUUAUGUUUUCACCUUGAAUUAUACACGAAAUUGCUGAGACACACCCGAACUUCAAGAGGGUCCUAUUACUCUCAAAUUUUAUUUAUAGUUCAAAAUGUCCAAGAGGUGCACCUACUACUGGCAUCAAUGCAAGUCUGACUCAAGUUCAUCAGCUGGUGUAGUCCCAAGUGCAGGACUAAGUUCAUCAUCUAUUGCAGCACCUAUUGUUAGAAAAGGGAGAGCUGCAACUGAAAGAUAAAGGUGUAAACCAAAGGGUUCUACAUAAAAGGGUGCUGGCACUAGCAGAUCAAGAAUGAUUGGAAUGGGAGUACUUCACACACAAAGUAUAUGUACAAUUCUUAAUCAGUUGUGACAGAAAAUCUUGGAUAUACACCAAAAUCUGGUGUGAAGUGGAGAGAAACAAAAGCUAUGACCUCUAGGAAACUGCAAGAAAUGAGAGAAAAAAAAUAAAUGAAGACAAGGUUCAAGGCUACACACUUGAGUCAAGAAAGCUCUAAUGUUUAAUCUCUAUAAGUUGUUGGUGUAGCAUUUUAGUUUUCUUUGUAUAGAUGUUGGUAGUUAUGUAUGCAUUUAAGACCCUCUUUUUGGUAGUUCACUAAUGUUGGCAGAUGUGUCUGCUUUUAGAAUAA